UUGAGGGACAGGAUAGUCGCGGAGGCGUGAAAGUUUUUUUCGCGUCGAUGAGGAAAGUCCGGACACCGCAGGACACAGUGAUGGAUAACGUCCACCGGUCGUGAGGCCAGGGAAAGUGCAACAGAAAAAAUACCGCCGUGAAACGAUUUUGAUUUUCAGGGUAAGGGUGAAAUGGCGAGGUAAGAGCUCACCGCGAGGCAAGUGAUUGCGUCGGCAAGGUAAACCCCACUGGGUGCAAUGCCAAACAGAGAGAAGCAGAAUGAGUUUUCGCUUGUUCUCCCGUGUCUGUCCGGCACGGUGACUUUCGGGUAGGCAGCUGGAGACGUUCAGUAAUGGACGCCCUAGAUAAAUGACUAUCGUUCGGGCCAUGGUCCGUUCACAAAAUCCGGCUUAUUGUCCCUCCAGCUU
rnacentral:RNase_P_RNA from 2 species